rnacentral:rRNA from 1 species
CCUACGGGUGGCAGCAGUGAGGAAUAUUGGUCAAUGGACGGAAGUCUGAACCAGCCAAGUCGCGUGAAGGAUGACGGCGCAUAGCGUCGUAAACUUCUUUUGCCUGGGAACAAAAGGGGGGACGCGUCCCCUGCUGAGUGUGCCCGAAGAAAAAGCAUAGGCUAACUCCGUGCCAGCAGCCGCGGUAAUACGGAGGAUGCGAGCGUUAUCCGGGUUUAUUGGGUUUAAAGGGUGCGCAGGCGGGAGGUGAAGCCGGCGGUGAAAUCGCGGGGCGCAAGCCCGGCGUGCAGUUGGAACUGGGGGCCUUGAGUGCGGGGGAGGCAGGCGGAAUGCGUGGUGUAGCGGUGAAAUGCAUAGAUAUCGCGAAGAACCCCGAUGGCGAAGGCAGCGGGCCGGGUCGCCACUGACGCUGAGGCACGAAAGUGCGGGGAUCGAACAGGAUUAGAUACCCGUGUAGUC